rnacentral:rRNA from 1 species
CUCAAAGGAAUUGACGGGGACCCGCACAAGCGGUGGAUGAUGUGGAUUAAUUCGAUGCAACGCGAAAAACCUUACCUGCGCUUGACAUGCCAGGAACCCCGAAGAGAUUUGGGGGUGCCCGAAAGGGAGCCUGGACACAGGUGCUGCAUGGCUGUCGUCAGCUCGUGUCGUGAGAUGUUGGGUUAAGUCCCGCAACGAGCGCAACCCUUAUCCUUAGUUGCUACGCAAGGGCACUCUAAGGAGACUGCCGGUGACAAACCGGAGGAAGGUGGGGAUGACGUCAAGUCCUCAUGGCCCUUAUGCGCAGGGCUUCACACGUCAUACAAUGGUCGGUACAGAGGGUCGCCAACCCGCGAGGGGGAGCCAAUCCCAGAAAGCCGAUCGUAGUCCGGAUUGCAGUCUGCAACUCGACUGCAUGAAGUCGGAAUCGCUAGUAAUCGCGGAUCAGCAUGUCGCGGUGAAUACGUUCCCGGGUCUUGUACACACCGCCCGUCACACCAUGGGAGUGGGUUCUACCAGAAGUAGUUAGCUUAACCGCAAGGAGGGCGAU